rnacentral:rRNA from 1 species
AGCGAACGCUGGCGGCAUGCUUAGCACAUGCAAGUCGCGCGGGUGGUUUCGGCCAUCAGCGGCGGACGGGUGAGUAUCGCGUAGGAAUGUAUCCCGAGGUGGGGGACAACCCUGGGAAACUGGGGCUAAUACCGCAUGGGGCCUGUGGGUCAAAGCCUUAGGGCGCCUUGGGAGCAGCCUGCGUCCGAUUAGGUAGUUGGUGGGGUAAAGGCCUACCAAGCCUGCGAUCGGUAGCUGGUCUGAGAGGACGAUCAGCCACACUGGGACUGAGACACGGCCCAGACUCCUACGGGAGGCAGCAGUGGGGAAUAUUGGACAAUGGGCGCAAGCCUGAUCCAGCAAUGCCGCGUGGGUGAAGAAGGUCUUCGGAUUGUAAAGCCCUUUCGGCGGGGACGAUGAUGACGGUACCCGCAGAAGAAGCCCCGGCUAACUUCGUG